rnacentral:rRNA from 1 species
AUAAUUUUUAAACAAAAAUUAUUUAAAAAAUAAAAGUUAAAAUUUCAAAUUUAAAAAAUUUUUUUAAAAUCAAUAAUAUAAUUAAAAUAUUUUAAAAUUUUAAAAGUAAAAUUUAAUUUUUUACCUUUUGUAUCAGGGAUAAUUAAAAAAUUUUUAAAAUUUAAAAUUUCUCGAAUUAAAAAAAUUUAAUGUAAAUAAUUUAUUAAUAUUAUAUUAUUAAAAUAAAAUUUAUAUUAGAAACUAUAUAUUAACCAAUUUUUAAAUUAUCUAGUUAUUUAAUAAAUAAAUUUAAUUUAAAUUUACUAAAAAUUUAUAACAAUAAAUUUUAAUUUUAUAAAUUUUGUAAAUUAAUAAAUUUAGGGAUAAACUUAAAUUUAAUUUUAUAAUUUUAAAUCAAAUUAAUUUAAUAAAUAUAAAAAUAAAAAUUUUUUAUAUUUAAAAUUAUAUAAUAAUUUAUAAAAUUAAAAAUUUAAAUUUACAUUUAAAAUUUAACUUAAUAUUAAAUUAAUCUUUUUAAUUAAUUUAACUAUAAAAUAAUGAUUAUAUUAAUAAUAAAAUUUUUUUUAAUAAAUAAUUAUAUAAACUAAAACUUUAUUUAAUUAACUAGGCAAUUUAAAUAUAUUCACCUGUUUAACAAAAACAUGUCUUAUUGAAAUUAAUUUUAAGUCAAACCUGCUCAAUGAAACUUUAAAUAGCUGCAGUAUCAAUAACUGUACAAAGGUAGCAUAAUAAUUAGAUUUUUAAUUAAAAUCUUGUAUGAAAGGUUUAAUGAAAUAUAAGCUGUCUCAAAUAAAAUUUUUUUAAACUUAUUAUUUAAGUUAAAAAACUUAAAUAAAUUUAAAAGACGAGAAGACCCUUUAGAAUUUUAUAUUAAAUUAAAUAAUAAUAAAAAUUAAUUAAUUUAUUUAUUUAAAUUAAUAUUUAAUUGGGGCAAUUUUAAAAUUCAAUAAACUUUUAAAUAUAUUAAACAAUUAUAAUUGAUUCUAUAUUCUUAUCUUAUAAUAUAUUAAAAUUAAUUACCUAAGGGAUAACAGCAUAAUAUUUUUUUUUAGAUCUAAUAAAUAAAAAAGAUUAUGACCUCGAUGUUGAAUUAAGAAAUAAUUAAAUAGAAAAAAAUUUAAAAUUUAAGUCUGUUCGACUUUUAAAAUCUUACAUGAUUUGAGUUAAGAUCGGCGUAAGCCAGAUCGGAUUCUAUCUUUAACAUAAAUAAAUUUUAUUGUACGAAAGGACUUAUUAUUUAAAAUAAUUUUUAAUUUUUAAUAUAAAUAAAUUCUAUUACUUUGACAGAUAAAUGU